GAUUUCUAAAGUGCUCCACCUCCACCACCUGUCAUCAGAUGGGGGCUGCGGCUGGGAGAACGCUCAUCCUCCUGAGAGCAGCUGUGGACUGAAUGGUGAAGGGCAGCAGCCACGGGAGCAGAGGCAGGCACAGGUUUGAAGAAAGAGACAUUUAUUUAAGGGAAAGCAGAGUUGCAUCCUUUGCUUUGGACUUGGAGCACCUUGAAGAGCUGUGGCCAGGGUAAGUCUUCUUCCAUUCAACCUUCCCUAGC
rnacentral:lncRNA from 1 species